rnacentral:tRNA from 1 species
GCCGUUGUAGCUCAAGCAGAGCACCGCCCAUUUAAGGCGGGUCACAUUGACGAUACGCAAGAGCGGCCCUGUCCGGCCUGUCCCCGGACGGAUUGAAACUCUUGUGGUGCUGGUUCGAAUCCAGCUGACGGCUUA